AGUGCCUUGAGAGAUUGCUUGGUAUACUUAAUGUCAAUUUGAAAAACAAAACUACUAACAAAGUGGAAAAGAGAUACAAUUAUUGUUUAGUCACAUCCGUAGCUUGCUUAGAAUCUCUUUCCUCCCUGAUGUGCUUUUAAAAAAAAUUCUUCUCACUCUGCUAUUAAGCUGUCAGCUAAGGAAAUGUCUUAGCAGUAUGAAACAGCUGGGUGGAAGAGAUUUGCAUUGGUGAGCUUGUGCCCGGAUUUCUACUGCAUAGCCCUUUCUUUCUAUAUAUAUGUUGUUUCACAGUGACACCAUAACACUAGUUGAUACAAUAACAUUUUGCCAUGAAACAAGAUUUUCAACACAGGAGCCUCAGGGAUUUGGUACCAACACAGUUGGUGCAUCAUUAACUUGAAUCUAGAUUGUUAGACUGUUGGAUUUUUUCCUCCUUUGUUUAAUCUCUAGUUGCAUCAGUGUAGGAUAAAAAGGUGUACAUUUCAGGGCUGAAAAAGAUAAUCUUAUAAGACAAGACCCAUCUGUUAAUCUUCUCUGCAAAUUCAUUGUUUUGUCCUGUUUUAAUGACUUUGCCCAAGUAAGUGUACUAACCAUGGACAUAGAAAGGAGUGGAGAUGUGUUCCACUAAGACAGGGGUUGAGGAAGAGAAAUGGAGUUCCUAGGUUCUGAAGAUAUGCUUUGUUCCAGUAGCUUCAGUGAGAUGUGCCUUGUUAUUGAAGCCAUCUGUCAUUCUCCACUCUUAUCCUACCCACCCCUACACAGAAAACCUGAGCAUAUUCUGAUCUGCUUUUCUACUCUUGACAGAAUGUUUUAAAUCCCAUAUGUUUUGAUACUGUUGAGAUGGUAACGACACAUGUGAAAAGGAUCCCUUCUUCAGCAUGACUUUAGCGGCUUUUUUUGGCUCCUAGUGCAGGCUUUGAACAAGGCUGCCAGCAAGCCCUUUGUGAGGCAUGCAGUGUCAUGCCUCCCACUCUCGGGAAGUCACACGGAGUGAGAAGGGAUGGAAAGGGUAAUUACAAGGUUCUUCCUAGACCCCUGUUCAUUCUCUCACACAAACCUCCCUCUAGUCUUUUUUUCCCUGCAUCCACUUUACUUUAGUGGCAUCCCACUCUUAAUAGAUAAGACUUAAAAAUGAAUGUAGAUGAAUUUUUAAAACCUAUUUGCUCAUCUUUUUUGUAAGGUAUACUUUUUUUAAAAUAAGAUACCCCUGAAGCCUGCCAAAGAAGCCUUUUCACUACAGUACAAGAGGUCCAAGUGGUGGCCUUUCACCAUGGGAAAUCCAACCCUUCAAAUAAAAUAUUAAAAUAAUUUUUAAAAUAAUUUUUGAUAUCCCAGCAUUCCAGAAAAAUAACCAAGCCUUUCCUAACUGGCACAUCAGAAGGAAUCAGAAGGCUUAGCUGGUAUAAGCCAUUCCAGGGAGAAGUCAAGAAAAAUAAUUGUUGCAUUUUUAUUACUCAGUACCCAAUAUUGAGUAUAUAAUGGGCUGACCAUUCUCUACUCAGUUUAUAAGAACAGCAUUCUCUAAUGACUUGCACUGAUUGAGAAUGUUUACGAGGUUCUUAUUGGUUAGGCAUCAGUGUGUUAUCAACAGGUACCCUCCUGACAGUGGAGACAGGAGUUUAGCCUACUGACUUGGCUCACUUAUCUUUAUGGCUGUUCACUUUUCUGCCUCUGCUUUUGGAAAUGGUUGAGAGUCAGAGUCAAGGAGUAUUUUGCCCUGUCCUCUACAUGUUAGGAAGGGUGUUUCAGAGGCCCAGGAUUCUUGCUAUUAGCUAUAGUGGUGUUAUGGAGGAUAAAUUCUUUAUCUCUCACUUUUGGAACCCCAUCUUGAACGCCAGCUUGGAGUCCAAAAGG
rnacentral:lncRNA from 1 species